rnacentral:rRNA from 1 species
CGAACGGGUGAGUAACACGUGGGCAACCUGCCCCCGGCUCUGGGAUAACUCCAAGAAAUUGGGGCUAAUACCGGAUGUGACCGCUGACCGCAUGGUCUGGUGGUGGAAAGAUUCAUCGGCUGGGGAUGGGCCCGCGGCCUAUCAGCUUGUUGGUGGGGUAGUGGCCUACCAAGGCGACGACGGGUAGCCGGCCUGAGAGGGUGACCGGCCACACUGGGACUGAGACACGGCCCAGACUCCUACGGGAGGCAGCAGUGGGGAAUAUUGCGCAAUGGGCGGAAGCCUGACGCAGCGACGCCGCGUGGGGGAUGACGGCCUUCGGGUUGUAAACCUCUUUCAGCUCCGACGAAGCGCAAGUGACGGUAGGAGCAGAAGAAGCACCGGCCAACUACGUGCCAGCAGCCGCGGUAAUACGUAGGGUGCAAGCGUUGUCCGGAAUUAUUGGGCGUAAAGAGCUCGUAGGCGGUUUGUCGCGUCGGCUGUGAAAACCUGGAGCUCAACUCCAGGCCUGCAGUCGAUACGGGCAGACUUGAGUGUUGCAGGGGAGACUGGAAUUCCUGGUGUAGCGGUGAAAUGCGCAGAUAUCAGGAGGAACACCGGUGGCGAAGGCGGGUCUCUGGGCAACAACUGACGCUGAGGAG